rnacentral:rRNA from 1 species
GUUUGAUCCUGGCUCAGGAUGAACGCUAGCGGGAGGCUUAACACAUGCAAGUCGAGGGGCAGCAUGGACUUCGGUCUGGUGGCGAGCGGCGCACGGGUGCGUAACGCGUAUGCAACCUGCCUUAUACAGGGGGAUAGCCCAUGGAAACGUGGAUUAAUACCCCAUAAUAUCGUUGAAUCGCAUGGUUUAACGAUNAAAACNACGGUGGUAAAAGAUGGGCAUGCGUCNGAUUAGCNAGANGGNGAGGNAACGGCUCACCANGGCGACGANCAGNAGGGGNUCNGAGAGGAUUAUCCCCCACACUGGUACUGAGACACGGACCAGACUCCCACGGGAGGCAGCAGUGAGGAAUAUUGGUCAAUGGGCGCGAGCCUGAACCAGCCAUCCCGCGUGCAGGAAGACGGCCCUAUGGG